rnacentral:rRNA from 1 species
AGGACAAACGCUGGCGGCGUGUAUUAGGCAUGCAAGUCGCACGGCACCUUCGGGUGCAGUGGCGGACGGGUGAGUAACACGUGGGUAACCUGCCUCGUAGUGGGGAAUAACUCGCCGAAAGGCGAGCUAAUACCGCAUAUUACUCGCGGUGAGAAUCCGAGAAGUAAAAGUCGAAAGGCGCUACGAGAGGGGCCCGCGGCCGAUUAGCUUGUUGGUGGGGUAAUGGCCUACCAAGGCAACGAUCGGUAGCUGGUCUGAGAGGAUGGUCAGCCACACGGGGACUGAGAUACGGCCCCGACUCCUACGGGAGGCAGCAGCUAAGAAUCUUGCGCAAUGGGCGAAAGCCUGACGCAGCAACGCCGCGUGGGGGACGAAGGCCUUCGGGUCGUAAACCUCUUUCAGCAGGGAAGAAGCGAAAGCGACGGUACCUGCAGAAGAAGCACCGGCUAACUACGUGCCAGCAGCCGC